CGGCCAUCGGUUUUAUGGUGUAGUUGGUUAUCACAUCAGUCUAACACACUGAAGGUCUCCAGUUCGAGCCUGGAUAAAGCCAUGCCG